GCGGUGGUGGUCGGCCGCGGGACGACCGGCUUGGUGAUCACGAGCGGGGGCGGAGGUGCCGCCGGCGCCGUUGUCGUCGGUGCGGCCGCU
rnacentral:tRNA from 1 species